UACGUAGGGUGCGAGCGUUGUCCGGAAUUAUUGGGCGUAAAGGGCUCGUAGGCGGUUUGUCGCGUCGGGAGUGAAAACACUGGGCUUAACUCAGUGCUUGCUUCCGAUACGGGCAGACUAGAGGUAUGCAGGGGAGAACGGAAUUCCUGGUGUAGCGGUGAAAUGCGCAGAUAUCAGGAGGAACACCGAUGGCGAAGGCAGGUCUCUGGGCCGAUACUGACGCUGAGGAGCGAAAGCGUGGGGAGCGAACAGG
rnacentral:rRNA from 1 species